UGGUAGAGCUUAUGAUUGCUAUCCCAGAGGUAUCAAGUCAGAAUCCUGGGCUCGUGUGAAACAAUGUUCGACUGUUCAUAGUGCUUACCAGGUUUAUCCCACAGUAUCCACAUCCACUGAAUCUACGUUAUAUUUUUCAUGCAAAAAAUAACGGAAACAUUGCUUAUGACAGUUAUGUAUUCUUCGUGAGAUUGUAUUACUUUUCAUGUAAUUUUAACACAAGGAUAUAACACAAUGUUUUAACUUUAAUAGCCGUUCAAUACUGGACAUUCGUGAUUACUUAUUGUGUUAAAACAUAACAGUAUUGACACAAACCUCCUGUUUGAUCGUACUGCAAUUUGGCCAAAGUCAGCGGAAAUAUAGAGGAGGGGGAGGUGAGUGAAACGAGUGGGACGGAUUUAAUACGACAUACAUAGGCCUACGAACUGCUGUUACUGAACAGAAGUUACCAUCAUGAAUCAGAACGUUUUGGUAAUUUAUUUUCUGGCAAAAGUAAUUGCUUGGGCAUGCGUAGAAGGUGCAGAUAGCAACACAAGCUCAACUGUAAAUAGCGUCGGUGACAUGACCAUCACACAUUUUCAAAAAAGAUCUUCUGAAGGAUAUACUUUACCAUAUUUUGGAGAAAUUCGUUUUCGAAUGUACUCAGGAAAAGAGAUAACAAUCGAAGGAGCUAUCCUAGAAAAUGCUACAGAGUU